GACAGAGGGUGCAAACGUUGUUCGGAAUUACUGGGCGUAAAGGGCGCGUAGGCGGCUUGGUCAGUCCCGUGUGAAAUCCCUCGGCCCAACUGAGGAACUGCGCCCGAGACUGCUUCUCUUGAGUCCCGGAGAGGAAGAUGGAAUUCCCGGUGUAGCGGUGAAAUGUGUAGAUAUCAGGAGGAACACCGGUGGCGAAGGCGGAUCUCUGGGCCAUUACUGACGCUGAGGAGCGAAAGCGUGGGGAGCGAACAGG
rnacentral:rRNA from 1 species